CCAGGCUCGUCGGGAGCAGGAAUCGGCCAUCGACGCCCAGCACUUCGCGAAGGCCCCCGAAAUUCCGUCCAAGGCUAAAUACUGGUGAGAGACCGAUAGCGAACAAGUACCGUGAGGGAAAGGUGAAAAGCACCCCGACAAGGGGAGUGAAAUAGAACCUGAAACCGGUUGCCUACAAGCAGUCGGAGGCCGCAAGGCUGACGGCGUACCUUUUGUAUAAUGGGUCAGCGACUUAUAUUCAGUGGCGAGCUUAACCGAAUAGGGGAGGCGUAGCGAAAGCGAGUCUUAAUAGGGCGUUUAGUCGCUGGGUAUAGACCCGAAACCGGGCG
rnacentral:rRNA from 1 species